UUUAACUGAAGAGUUUGAUCAUGGCUCAGAUUGAACGCUGGCGGCAGGCUUAACACAUGCAAGUCGAGCGGAUGAAGGUAGCUUGCUACCGGAUUCAGCGGCGGACGGGUGAGUAAUGCUUAGGAAUCUGCCUAUUAGUGGGGGACAACGUUCCGAAAGGAGCGCUAAUACCGCAUACGUCCUACGGGAGAAAGCAGGGGACCUUUGGGCCUUGCGCUAAUAGAUGAGCCUAAGUCGGAUUAGCUAGUUGGUAGGGUAAAGGCCUACCAAGGCGACGAUCUGUAGCGGGUCUGAGAGGAUGAUCCGCCACACUGGGACUGAGACACGGCCCAGACUCCUACGGGAGGCAGCAGUGGGGAAUAUUGGACAAUGGGGGGAACCCUGAUCCAGCCAUGCCGCGUGUGUGAAGAAGGCCUUUUGGUUGUAAAGCACUUUAAGCGAGGAGGAGGCUACCUAGAUUAAUACUUUAGGAUAGUGGACGUUACUCGCAGAAUAAGCACCGGCUAACUCUGUGCCAGCAGCCGCGGUAAUACAGAGGGUGCGAGCGUUAAUCGGAUUUACUGGGCGUAAAGCGUGCGUAGGCGGCCAAUUAAGUCAAAUGUGAAAUCCCCGAGCUUAACUUGGGAAUUGCAUUCGAUACUGGUUGGCUAGAGUAUGGGAGAGGAUGGUAGAAUUCCAGGUGUAGCGGUGAAAUGCGUAGAGAUCUGGAGGAAUACCGAUGGCGAAGGCAGCCAUCUGGCCUAAUACUGACGCUGAGGUACGAAAGCAUGGGGAGCAAACAGGAUUAGAUACCCUGGUAGUCCAUGCCGUAAACGAUGUCUACUAGCCGUUGGGGCCCUUGAGGCUUUAGUGGCGCAGCUAACGCGAUAAGUAGACCGCCUGGGGAGUACGGUCGCAAGACUAAAACUC
rnacentral:rRNA from 1 species